UGCGGCGCACUGGCCGCGUCAGGCUCAUAACCUGAAGGUCGCAAGUUCAAAUCUUGCCCCCGCAACCA
rnacentral:tRNA from 1 species